AUCCCCAUCUUAUGAUGGACUUGCAGUUCCCAGAAGCUUAAUUUGGAGGAUCAGCUAUCAUGUACUUUUUAGAGAGAACGCAACAGUCCUGAGCUUGAUUUCAAGCACCUAAAGACGAUGCACAUGGUCAACUUUGAAUCACACACAAAUCAUGCGAAGCUGUUGGAAAAUUUCGUGUGUCGAGUGGCUGCCUUGAAAUAUAUCUUUUUGUUCUAACGUGCAUGAUAUCUGAAAUGUGUUACGACUGAAGAACUAAAUUGGUGUAAAAGAUCUACAAACAUGAUAUCUGAAAAGUGUUAGGAGUGAAGAACUAAAUUGGUGCAAAGAUCUACAACAAACCAAGAUAAAUUACUUCGUUGA
rnacentral:lncRNA from 1 species